GGUGGGAACUCCAGGGAGACUGCCGGUGAUAAACCGGAGGAAGGUGGGGACGACGUCAAGUCAUCAUGGCCCUUACGAGUAGGGCUACACACGUGCUACAAUGGCAGAUACAGAGGGCAGCGAAGCUGCGAAGUGGAGCGAAUCCCUUAAAGUUUGUCGUAGUCCGGAUUGGAGUCUGCAACUCGACUCCAUGAAGUCGGAAUCGCUAGUAAUCGUGGAUCAGAAUGCCACGGUGAAUACGUUCCCGGGCCUUGUACACACCGCCCGUCACACCAUGGGAGUGGGCUGCACCAGAAGUAGAUAGCUUAACCUUCGGGAGGGCGUUUACCACGGUGUGGUUCAUGACUGGGGUGAAGUCGUAACAAGGUAGCCCUAGGGGAACCUGGGGCUGGAUCACCUCCUUACU
rnacentral:rRNA from 6 species